CAGCAGCCGCGGUAAUACGAAGGGGGCUAGCGUUGCUCGGAAUUACUGGGCGUAAAGGGAGCGUAGGCGGAUCGUUUAGUCAGGGGUGAAAUCCCGGGGCUCAACCUCGGAACUGCCUUUGAUACUGGCGAUCUUGAGUAUGGGAGAGGUGAGUGGAAUUCCGAGUGUAGAGGUGAAAUUCGUAGAUAUUCGGAAGAACACCAGUGGCGAAGGCGGCUCACUGGACCGUUGUUGACGCUGAGGUGCGAAAGCGUGGGGAGCAAACAGGAUUAGAUACCCCCGUAGUCCCUGUCUCUUAUAA
rnacentral:rRNA from 1 species